UUAAGUUCAGCGGGUAUCCCUACCUGAUCCGAGCUCAACCGUCUUGAUGUUGGCGCCAUAGCGCUUAAGGUCCCGUUGCCUCUGUCAGGUUUGACAGCCAACGAGAUUGAAUCUCACUACGUCGGCCGCAAUCCUCAGGCUCGCAGACAUCGAAUUUGAGCGGUGCGCACACAGUUCAGGGUGUGGGCAUCCACCAGGAC
rnacentral:misc_RNA from 1 species